rnacentral:lncRNA from 1 species
UUCUCUCUAAAAAAAGGCGAAUCAUCUUUAUCAAGAUGCACUCACUUUUCUCUCUCUCUCUGGAGAAGACGAUGACCGCAAUCUACCUAUUUACCCCCAACCCAUACCCUACCUAAUCAAAUUGCACUUCAAACCCUAAUUUCCCUUCUCUCGUCUCUCUCAUCGCAUUCUCUCCUCCCGUGGAAAACUUGUCCGACGCCGAUUAGUGAUCGUCGGAAUACCUCGAGCGACACUACGACGUUGUCGAGCACAGCGGCGACAUCAACAGCUGCAAUGAAGCUGCUCGCGCAUCG